CCUGCGUGCCGGCGGGGGGCGCGGACACGCGUGGUGUGCGCGGUCCCCGUGCAGCCCGCCCUGCCGCAGGCUGCCCUCCACCCCCAGCCCCAGCUCCAGCCCCCAGCCCGUCCCCACUGCUCAUAUCCGAGCAGAUAGACCCCGGCCCCACCCUCCCGUGCUGAGCCUCCUUUCUGCCGGGAAGUUCGUCCGGGAGUCAAACAUCGCUGCCCUCCGGUUGCGCCACGGAGGGGGAGCCAGGAUAGGAAGCUGCCGUGAAAUCAGGAAGCUGAGCGCGCCGGGCCCCGGAUCCGAACAGAAAAGGCUUCCACCCGCUCCCCUGAGGGAUCCCACGCUGAGGGACUGAACCCCGCACCCCAGCCGCGCUCACCACCCCCACCCUCUCGCCUGGGCUGCUCUGACCUGGGGAUUCCAGAACUGCCACUCAAAGUGCCCUAUGAGGAGCUGUGGUAACAAGGAAAUGUUCUCAUGACUCAAAAAUCAGUGGAAAAAGGUACAGGAUGAGAAGCCUUGUUUCCCAACCCUAUCAACAGAGCCGCACGCACCCACCCCAUGUCAAAAGUAACACAGUAUCGACACAAAAAGAGCCUGGAUCCCUCACAUGGACAGCCCUGAUCUGCUGAUUCUGAGUGCUGUGUGACAGAAAAGCAAAACUUUUAUAUUGUUAAACAAGAUCUUGCUCUGUUGACCAAGCUGGAGUGCAGUGGUGCAAUCAUAGCUCAUGGCAGCCUUAAACUCCUGAGCUCAAGCCAUCCUCCCACCUCACCCUUCCAAGUACAGGUGAGCACCACCAUGCCUGGCUAAUUAAAAAAAAAUUGUUUUUUGUAGACAGGGUCUUGCUAUAUUGCCCAGGCUGGUCUCAAACUCCUGGGUUCAAGCAAUCCUCCUGCCUGGGCCUCCCUAAGUACUGGGAUUACUGGUAUGAGCCACCAUGCUUGGUCAUACUUCUACUCUUCAGCAAUCUACUAUUUUUCUUUUCUUUUCUUUUUUUUUUUUUUUGAGACAGGGUCUCAC
rnacentral:lncRNA from 10 species